GUUAAGCUACUUUGGGAAAUGAAACCCAAUGAAACAGUUGUUGCCAGCAUUGACCACACAGGAUCAUUUCUCUUAAAACUCUGCGAGUUUCAAACCCUCAAACCACACACGUGGCUUUGUGGAGAGGCCAUAGACUAUUAUUUAAGAACAAUGAAAAAAGAACUGGACCUGGCCAACAAAAUCUUUGUCUUGGACCAUUUGGUAACAAUGGCUGUUGUACUCGGACAACGCAAUGUCGUGAAACAUCAACUGAUGAAAACAGUGAGUACAAAAUGCUAUGUUUAGUAUAUUCAAACUGUAUUUAUACAUAAGUAAUCAUUUAUAUGUAUUUUUAUUUGUCCAGGUGCGUUUGGAAGAGUUUGAUGCCAUGAUUGGUGUUGUGAAUGUGAAAAACAAGCAGUAUUUCAUUUAAGUAUCUACAUAAACAAAAUCAAUCUGUGCUUUGGAUGGACCCAUUGGGGCAUAAAGAGAUGGAGAAGGCAGCAAAGGCUGGAGAAAGUUUCCGGGAGUUCUUCGAACUACGUAAACAACGGCUGAGGAGAAAAGAGUGGUCUGACAUUGGGUGGAAACCCAUCCUUAUUAAACACUCACUCCAGAAAGACGGCCAUAGUUGUGGAGUGUUUGUGAUGGAGAUGGAUAAGCAGCUAAUGAACUACUACCCCAGACUACCUGUAGACAUUCCAGUUGAUGUUUCAAAAAUAUCCACCUACAGGAUGGAAAUGGCUGCCGAAAUACUUUCUGGAACAGUGCCUCUUGAGGAUUCUUGUCAGUGGUGUGGCCAGAAUAAGUCCAAAGAUGGGGACAGGUACUGGGUAAGUACUGAGCAUAUUUGCACAAUUGUUUUUGAUACCAAAUGCCAAAUGCUAUACAAUUUAUUUAUACCUACAGGUGCAGUGUGGAACAUGCGAGAAAUGGCAGCAUAUCACCUGCACUGGCCUGUCCUACAAGGAAUACUGUAACAUAAAAAAGGUUUUUUGGCAGUGUUUUAUAUGUAGAACAGCGGACCAGUAAUGUACGCCAUGGGAAAUGAGAAAUUGCAAUAUUGAAAAGACGUCAUGUACUGACUUUUUUUUUAUUUACCUAAAGUACCUUUUUUUACAUAGGUUUCUAAUUUUUUGAAACUUUUUUUUUUUUUAAAAUUUUUUAUUUUUUGGGUUCCAUUGGCUGUGAGCCAUAAUCAACAACAAAUGGAAUAAACGCUUAUAAUAGAUCUCA
rnacentral:lncRNA from 1 species